GCCGGGUGUGGUGGCGGGCACCUGUAAUCCCAGCUACUUUGGAGGCUGAGGCAGGAGAAUUGCUUGAACCCAGGAGGCAGAGGUUGCAGUGAGCCGAGAUUGUGCCACUGUACUCCAGCCUGGGUGACAGAGUGAGACUCUGUCUAAA
rnacentral:SRP_RNA from 1 species